rnacentral:rRNA from 1 species
GGAGCUAAUCCCAGAAAACCGGCCUCAGUUCGGAUUGGAGUCUGCAACUCGACUCCAUGAAGUCGGAAUCGCUAGUAAUCGCAGAUCAGCACGCUGCGGUGAAUACGUUCCCGGGCCUUGUACACACCGCCCGUCACACCAUGGGAGUCAGUUGCUCCAGAAGUGGCUGCGCCAACCCGCAAGGGAGGCAGGUCCCCAAGGAGUGGCUGGUAACUGGGGUGAAGUCGUAACAAGGUAGCCGUA